rnacentral:misc_RNA from 1 species
GAUGAAGAACGUAGCGAAAUGCGAUAAGUAGUGUGAAUUGCAGAAUUCAGUGAAUCAUCGAAUCUUUGAACGCACAUUGCGCCCCUUGGUAUUCCAUGGGGCAUGCCUGUUCGAGCGUCAUUUGUACCUUCAAGCUCUGCUUGGUGUUGGGUGUUUGUCUCGCCUCUGCGUGUAGACUCGCCUCAAAACAAUUGGCAGCCGGCGUAUUGAUUUCGGAGCGCAGUACAUCUCGCGCUUUGCACUCAUAGCGACGACGUCCAAAAGUACAUUUUUACACUCUUGACCUCGGAUCAGGUAGGGAUACCCGCUGAACUUAAGCAUAUCAAUAAGCGGAGGA